UGGGGCAAGGGAUGAAAGGAGCUUCAGACUCCACCAUUCACGUUUCAAACUCAACAUCCAUGACUCUCUCCCUCUCAUUCUAACUCUCUUAAUCGGAAAUCACUCCGCCGUGCAAGAGGCGGCAAAGCAACCCAACUUGGCCCAUAAUCACCACCAUUAAGACCAUAUCACUAUCCUCUUUCCACUUCUUGUAUCAAUUUCUUAUGAAACUCACUCAAGCAUCUUAUCCCUCAAACAAACAUCAAGAACUCUAAGUCCUAAAUCCAAAAUUAAAUUACCAAGACCCACUAAUCUGAACUCAAACCUUAGGGGUUUGGUUUACCUACUCAAACAUUACAUCCUGGUAACAAUAUUGGAGCAACGAAGUGAAAAUUUGAAGGGCCUACCUACAAGGAGAAUGCUUACCUUGGAAAUUGUUGAAGAUGAAAAUGAUGAAGCUUCCGAGAAAGCCAGAGGAGAAAUACAAUAAGGGCAAAUGCUCAUUUGGUAGAGUAAUCAUGGCUUGGUAUGAAGUAUUUCUCAUGAAGUCCAUUAUAGUUUGUCAUGACAUGUAUUAAGGUUCUCUUAUGAAUAGAUUUUGGGCACAGGAAUGGAGAUUUAUGGGGACGAAGACAAAAGAGUUUUAGUAGACUUUAGGAUCAUAUUGACUUUGGUCAACUUUGUAACCAAAAAGUCAACAGUUGAUCAAAAGUCCCCCCAAUGUCAAGUGUAAUUUUUUGUGUAAUUUUGUACUUUUGGCUUCCUUGUGUAAUGUAUUUGAAGAUCUUGUAAUGAAACAUAAUUCUUGAAUGCAAUGUAACUUGAUUUCCAAGACGAAUGACUUUCCCUCAAA